GAGCGUCAUUUCAACCCUCGACCUCCCCUUGGGGAGGUCGGCGUUGGGGACCGGCAGCACACCGCCGGCCCUGAAAUGGAGUGGCGGCCCGUCCGCGGCGACCUCUGCGUAGUAAUACAGCUCGCACCGGAACCCCGACGCGGCCACGCCGUAAAACACCCAACUUCUGAACGUUGACCUCGAAUCAGGUAGGCUACCCGCUGAACUUAA
rnacentral:misc_RNA from 1 species